GCCUUACAGUAAAAUCUGCAUUAAAAAAAAAAUUAAAAAAACCCUAACAACAAAACCCCCCUACAAACUCGUUAAAACUUAAAUAUCGGAUAAUCUCAAACCAGCUUACUGCCUGUGCACCUCCACCAGCCUUCACACGAGUGGCUCAAAAAUCUCCUGACAUCGGUCUCAUGCUUCUUGAGCUGGUAUGAUCGCAUCUGAAGUUCAGACGGCGGAGGAAGGAGAAGGCUAGGCUGGCAUCGUUUUGUGUUUAGGUUAACAAAAAUCAACACUUCUAUUGUCAUUCUUCAUGGAAAGUCUCCAUUUAACGAGUCUGGGGUUUAAGGAGCUUCAUAGAUCAAAGGAAAGCUAAGAAACUGGAAAACGGAGAGGUGAAUGCCAUGUACCUCCCCAGACCUGGAGGGAAACAGAGCUGCGGCCAAAAGGAGUGGGUGUAAAUGCGACAACAAAAAUAAAUACUUUAUAUCACCCUGCAGAACUU